CAGCUCUGACAGUAGCACAGGUUUAUAUAUAUAUUAAUACGUUACGGUUUCUAUAGUAACGGCUCGUUCACAGGGACGUGCGCAGCGGACGCUCCGCUGAUAAACAGAUUGGGGGAAAAACCCGUUUUUAAAGUUUUCUGUAAGGAGAUGUCUAUGUAACAUUUCUGGAAGGAGUCUCCAGUUCCAGUUAAGAGAGGCUGGUGGUAACGUAAGUGAAGACAGGAACUGACUUCCACAGCUUUACUGUAACUAUAAACGGAUAAAAAGUGCAACGUGACACUCAUUAAUAAGUCAAACAUCGUAAUCGGUGGUGAAUUGCUGCGGUGUAAAAGGAAUAGAACACUAGGAGAUGUGCUGUUAGAGGAAAAUAAUCCUCUUUGAUGUGGUGUGUGUGUGUGUGUGUGUGUGUGUGUGUGUGUGUGUGUGUGUGUCUCACUGGCGAGCGAGGCGAGGUGUGGUUGGAUGUGGAGCUCUUUGAGCAGUACGGCGGCGGGGAGGUGGAUGGUGAGGUCGCACCACGCCUCCUCGGGGAGGAAGAUGUAGGACCAGGCGGCGGAUCGGGCUCGGCGGCGAGGACUCGGGCCUUCAGGCUGCCGUCUGCUGCUUUCCCCGGCCCCGAGUCCAAAAACUUCAUGAUGGUGGAGACCAUGCUGCGUGCCGUGUUCACGAUGGCCCGCGUACUCGUCACCAUGUUGUUACAGAUCAGCUGUACUCCACCUACACACACACACACACACACACACACACACACACACACACACACACACACACACCGAGGGAAAGAGUCUCAAAAAAACUCCUGUUCUAUUUAUUAUACUACAGCACUGGUGAUAAUGGUGUGUGUGUGUGUGUGUGUGUGUGUGUGUGUGUCCGUACCCAUAUCAUGGAAGGCUUUAAGCGCCUCACUGGUGUCCAGAACUCUCAGGAUGAACCACAGCAGCGGCUCAGAGAGCUGACAAGUGGAGAGAGAACCCUGCAUGACAAACACACACUGUUAAACACACACACAGACCCAGACAGAGACACCCGGCCUAUACAGUGAAUACAGUGAAGUUAUGUGCAGUUCUUUGUCUUUAAUAUUUGUGAGUGAAUGAAGCAGGUGUGAGCAGGUGUAGUGCUUGUCGGAGAGCUCACCUGUCUGCCCAUGUAGCCACAGGCCAUGUAGGUGAGGAUGGGCUGCAGCAUGACCUGCACUGACGUGGCUCUCUUACUCAGCGUGGUGAGGAUGGUGAACAGACCGUCGCCUACAGAUAUGGCGUCCAAACCUCCGUGGAAAUUCUCAUGCUUGGUCAAAUGGAGUCCACUAGCACCUGAAGGUGAGAAAUGUAGGGAAGAGUGUUAACGGCGUAGUUACACAGUGAGGAAAGUAAUGGAUUGGGACACGCACACACUGGACAGGGAGUGUACAGACCGAUUAUCAUGGCCAUGGCGCUGCUGUUGCACUGCCCCAAGGCUGAAAGGAUCUGACUCAUGAUCUGUUGAUUGGCCAGCACCAGGUCUGCCACGCCCAUCGCCGGACCCUGAUUGGGGACGUGUCCCGAGGCGCCGCCCUCUUUGCCGCCGCCUCCACUGCAGACUUUUUCCUCGUCGGAGACGCUGUUGGAGGGCAUGCGCCCGCUGUACUCUCUGUCUCCGGACAGCGGCAGGGUGACGAGAGCGUUGACUAGCUUGAGCAGGUCGAACAUCAGCUGAUCGCGCGUGGUCUCUCCGCACGCCGCCUUGGCGUCUCCUGGGCGGAUGAUAUUAGCGAAAAGGCCUCCGAAACAGGCGCGGGCGCACACGGAGCCAUCCGAGCCGCUCCGGGACACCACCUUCUCCGAGCAGGUGAUGUAGUGAUGGACCAGGAAGGUGAUGGACUCAACCACGGCUGUGAUGGUGGUGACGGACACGACCUCGAAGUUCUGCUCCAGCGUGAACUCCAGGAGCUUCACCUGAGCGUCCAACGGGCCCUGUCCUGAAUGGAACGGACCCCUGUAGAGGAGGGACACGAGGGAGAGUCAAUAAGUAGUUCAGUAACUCAGUAAGAAAGUCAGUAACUGAAGAUAUAAAAUAAGCAGGUUAGAGUCAGUAAUGAAGAAAGUGUCAGUAAGUCCAAAAAGUCAGUAAGCAAGUUAGUCAAUAAAUCUAUUACUAAAACAACAUCACUUAAAUCAAUAAGUCACUAAUUCAGUAGAGCAGCAAUUCAGUAAGAUCACUAAUUCAGUAGAUCACUAAUUCAGUAGAUCACUAAUUCAGUAGAUCACUAAUUCAGUAAGAUCACUAAUUCAGUAGAUCACUAAUUCAGUAGAUCACUAAUUCAGUAGAUCACUAAUUCAGUAAGAUCACUAAUUCAGUAGAUCACUAAUUCAGUAGAUCACUAAUUCAGUAAAUCACUAAUUCAGCAGAUCACUAAUUCAGUAGAUCAGCAGGUCAGCAGGUCAGUAGAUCACUAAUUCAGUACAUCAGUAAGUCAGUAGAUCAGUAGGUCAGUAAUUCAGUAGAUCAAUAAGUCAGCAGAUCAGUAGGUCAGUAGAUCAGUAGGUCAGUAAGCCAACACACAGAUCACGGAGUUGUUAAGUCAGUAACCAAGUAAAAUAAAGACUGAAUGAACACACUGCAUCAGAGCAAUCAGGAAGAACAAACAGAAGGAGAAGGAGAAGGAGAGGAG
ensembl:lncRNA